rnacentral:piRNA from 1 species
UAAUGACACUCGUCAUGCACUGCCAGUAU